AUGAAGCAGCGUGGGAUCAUGGGAGUCUACCUGAUGCAACCCAGGUCGGACUCUAGCUGCUCCGCCUCCUCCUGCAAAGAUACAACCUGAGACAAAAAAACAACAUCAAACCACAGGUGUCGUACGAUCUGAUAGGUCCAGCAAUCAGUUUGACUCAACCUUGAACCUACUAGAAGUUGCAGGUCACAAGUCAAGAAAAUGUUAAACCUCCCUCUCACCAUAAGUCUUUUGGGUCAAGUGUGCCGAAUCCAGCUCAUCAGUCAAUCGUCGGAUCUCGUU